rnacentral:rRNA from 1 species
AUUGGGGCUAAUACCGGAUAUGACUGCUGACCGCAUGGUCUGGUGGUGGAAAGAUUUAUCGGCUGGGGAUGGGCCCGCGGCCUAUCAGCUUGUUGGUGGGGUAGUGGCCUACCAAGGCGACGACGGGUAGCCGGCCUGAGAGGGUGACCGGCCACACUGGGACUGAGACACGGCCCAGACUCCUACGGGAGGCAGCAGUGGGGAAUAUUGCGCAAUGGGCGGAAGCCUGACGCAGCGACGCCGCGUGGGGGAUGACGGCCUUCGGGUUGUAAACCUCUUUCAGCAGGGACGAAGCGAAAGUGACGGUACCUGCAGAAGAAGCACCGGCCAACUACGUGCCAGCAGCCGCGGUAAUACGUAGGGUGCAAGCGUUGUCCGGAAUUAUUGGGCGUAAAGAGCUCGUAGGCGGUCUGUCGCGUCGGCUGUGAAAUCCCGAGGCUCAACCUCGGGUCUGCAGUCGAUACGGGCA